AACGAACGCUGGCGGCAUGCCUAACACAUGCAAGUCGAACGAGACCUUCGGGUCUAGUGGCGCACGGGUGCGUAACGCGUGGGAACCUGCCCUUAGGUUCGGAAUAACUCCCCGAAAGGGGUGCUAAUACCGGAUAAUGUCUUCGGACCAAAGAUUUAUCGCCUUUGGAUGGGCCCGCGUUGGAUUAGCUAGUUGGUAGGGUAAAAGCCUACCAAGGCGACGAUCCAUAGCUGGUCUGAGAGGAUGAUCAGCCACACUGGGACUGGGACACGGCCCAGACUCCUACGGGAGGCAGCAGUGGGGAAUAUUGGACAAUGGGCGAAAGCCUGAUCCAGCAAUGCCGCGUGAGUGAUGAAGGCCUUAGGGUUGUAAAGCUCUUUUACCCGGGAUGAUAAUGACAGUACCGGGAGAAUAAGCUCCGGCUAACUCCGU
rnacentral:rRNA from 1 species